CCCGGUCCGCACGGGAGUCUGUGGGAACAGACUGAGAGGGGGUCUACCGACCCCGACCGUCGAACCUGAUCCGGGUCAUGCCGGCGCAGGGAGCGUGGUGUCAGUGGUA
rnacentral:ncRNA from 1 species